AAUAACAGGAUUAGUAUGUAAAUAUUUAUGUGUGUAUGUAAUGUAUAUAUACACGUUGACUUUGAUUGUGAAGAAAGAUACAGAGGGACAGAGAGGAAAAGCAUGAGAAUUUUAAGAAACGAGAAAGUAGACGCAAGAAAAAGAACCGAAAGUGAUUCGGAUAUUUAAAGAUGAAGAGGCAGGAGGUGAAGUUAGAAUAUCAAGAUGUAACAAAAUGUGUGUGUACGUAAUAAUUGAAUAUGGAAAAUUGUGACGCUCACCUCUAACACACACACACAGAUUUGUGGAAGAGACAUGGAGUCCUCCUUGGAAUCCGCACCGGAAGGACAAACAAGAUUUCAGACAUCCUCAACGUCAACAGAAGGAUUGUGCAAACGGUCAGAAAGGAGAUGAAAGAUUCAGGAUUCGAUUAUGAGACAACAGCAAAGAAGAAAACCCGUGAUCGACGAACAGUCGCCAUCAAAACGUUGGAAUUCGUCACUGAAACCCAGAUCAUCAACAAUGAUCCCAGAUCGAGUGACAGCAUAGCGACUUAAUCGUCGGUUUGGUCAUUUCUGUAGUACGUCGUUGUGUUAGAAUGUAUUACCAUGAAGCCACUG